UAGAUCUUAUGUUUUUUGUUUUGGUGUUCUUUUGGUUGAAGGAAGAGAGAAAACAAAAAAUGCAAUGUCAAAACUAAGAAAAGGAAGAAACAAAAUAGGUUAUGUAGCAUCAAAACCAAAAGAAAGGGAAGAGAGAAAAUAGGUGAUGUAACUUAAUUUCAAGAUUUUAGGAGACCCAAAGCACUAAAUGUUUAAAGACAAUUCGAUUGAGUUUGUAUUUUUCCACUUCUUUUUCUGAACUUUUUUUUUUUUUCAAUUUAUAUGUAUAUAUAUGUUUUUUGGAAUUGUCUGAGAAUUAAGGGUUGAUGUUUGAUCUUCUAGUUUAGAAGACCAAGAUUGUUAAAUUGAUUGUGGAUUGAUGUUAUGGUUAACCUACUUUUAAAUUUUCUUCCUUGACACAGUUAUUCAUUUCCUGCAAAUACAACUGCUUAAAGACAUUAGGAAUUGGUUAUUGCUUGCUAUAUUUCUUCUGAUUUAGAGACUGCGGUGGAGGCUGAAAGGGUAUGAGAUUCUAAGGUCAGACGUUAAGGCUUCUUUGCCUUGACUCUUCUGUGGUUUGAUCAUAAUCUAGCAAAUGUUUGAGCUUAGUAAUUCGAUAUAUCAAUUGCCAUUUCUGUAAUUCUACAAGAAUACAAUCAUUACCCAGAAAUUGCAGGGCUAAGGAUUAUACUGCAGUAGAACAACCUGUGGAAGCAUUCACGAAUAUCCUUUUCUCAUCUGGAACUACAGGUAACUUGAAACCUUUUAACUGAAACAUCUCAAAGAUCGUAAUGCUUCAUCUUGCAUAUUUCAUGCAAAUCACUGGUAUUAAAGACCAUUCCAGGAUUUGUCAAAGGUAGUUUCUAUGUAUGGAUGUCUUUUAGAAGAAGCCUCACAUGCAUGCCACGAUUUUAUAAAAAUUGAGUACAGCAGAGUUUUACACAAGUUUUAACCAAAUGUGUCCAUGGAUUAGUCUCAAAAUUCAUGUUAGUGAAGUGACAGCUUGUUCUUAGUACAUGAAUGUCUUGGGUGAUAUUCAAAUCAAGUCGGUAUGCAGAAAUAAAAUAGU